rnacentral:rRNA from 1 species
GGUUAAGUGAAUAAGGGCGCACGGUGGAUGCCUUGGCACUAGGAGCCGAUGAAGGACGGGACUAACACCGAUAUGCUUUGGGGAGCUGUACGUAAGCUAUGAUCCAGAGAUUUCCGAAUGGGGGAACCCAGCAUCUUUUAUAGGAUGUUACAAAUAUGUGAAUACAUAGCAUAUUUGAGGUAGACGCAGAGAACUGAAACAUCUAAGUACCUGCAGGAAGAGAAAGAAAAUUCGAUUCCCUGAGUAGCGGCGAGCGAAACGGGAAAAGCCCAAACCAACAAGCUUGCUUGUUGGGGUUGUAGGACUCCAAUAUGGUAGUUUUUUCAGAUAAUCGAAUGACUUGGAAAAGUCAGUCAAAGAGGGUAAAAACCCCGUAGAUGAAAUUUGGAAGACACCUAGGAGGAUCCUGAGUACGGCGGAACACGAGGAAUUCCGUCGGAAUCCGGGAGGACCAUCUCCCAAGGCUAAAUACUCCCUAGUGACCGAUAGUGAACCAGUACCGUGAGGGAAAGGUGAAAAGCACCCCGGAAGGGGAGUGAAAUAGAACCUGAAACCGUGUGCCUACAACAAGUCAAAGCCCGUUAAUGGGUGAUGGCGUGCCUUUUGUAGAAUGAACCGGCGAGUUACGAUUGCAUGCGAGGUUAAGUCGAAGAGACGGAGCCGUAGCGAAAGCGAGUCUGAAUAGGGCGUUUGAGUAUGUAGUCGUAGACCCGAAACCAUGUGAUCUACCCAUGUCCAGGUUGAAGGUGCGGUAAAACGCACUGGAGGACCGAACCCACGUACGUUGAAAAGUGCGGGGAUGAGGUGUGGGUAGCGGAGAAAUUCCAAACGAACUUGGAGAUAGCUGGUUCUCUCCGAAAUAGCUUUAGGGCUAGCCUCGGAAUU